rnacentral:rRNA from 1 species
CCUAUACAUGACUCUGCGCAUAUCAAUAAGCGGAGGAAAAGAAACUAACAAGGAUUCCCCUAGUAACGGCGAGUGAAGCGGGAAGAGCUCAAAUUUGAAAUCUUCAAGGGUUUCCCUUGACGAAUUGUAGUUUAAAGAAGUGCUUUCUGUUAGAGAGGUGGUAAAAGUUCUUUGGAAUAGGACAUCAUAGAGGGUGAGAAUCCCGUAUUUGAUCACUUUCUACUAACGUUGUGAUACACUUUCAAAGAGUCGGAUUGUUUGGGAAUGCAGCCCAAAAUGGGUGGUAAAUUUCAUCUAAAGCUAAAUAUUGGCGAGAGACCGAUAGCGAACAAGUACCGUGAGGGAAAGAUGAAAAGAACUUUGAAAAGAGAGUUAAACAGUACGUGAAAUUGUCAAAAGGGAAGCGUUUGACACCAGUGUUGUUUUCUCGAAAAUCAAUUCAUGAUGGCUUGAUGCUAGGUUGUUAAGACUUUAUCAGCUUACUGUCUAGUUUUCUUGUCUUUGUGAAUGCACUUUUCGUUUAACAAGUCAACAUCAAUUUCUUUUGUUGUAAAAGGGUAAUGAGGAAGGUGGCUUGCGCUUUCGGAUAAAGUGUUUAUAGCCUUGUAUCUCUGCAAUCGGAGAGAUUGAGGUCUGCAGCGUAGAUCCUUCGGGGUUAGAUACAUUGGUGCUAAGUUAUAGCUUGUCAUAGACAACUUGUUGACUAUGUUUAGUCAUUGUAGCUUACUCGCUUAUGCUAUUUUACCUACGCUUAGGAUGUUGAUAUGCAUGACUGAUAU